AAUAGUUUUGUCCUUGCUUCCAAUUCUUUUGUUCCACACACUGAUGACUAAUAUUUAAAACAGACAUUGCAAAUUUUAUUAAGAUGUGCCCUAGAAGGAACUUUUGCUAUCCUUUAACUUGUGAUAAUAAAUAAUUCGGUUUCUAUAAAACUUAUGAACUUCCCUAAAAGUCCUAUAUAUGUCCUACAGCAUCCUCUCUAUAAUAAAGUAGUACUAUUUUCAGGUCAUGUUACAACGCGUUACAAUGGUUUGUUGAUUGGCAGUUGUAAUGGGCGUGGUUACGUCGGAUACAUUGAUGACUUCCGUCUGUACAGAUGUUUAGUUGAAGGAGCCGGAAAGAGUAACUACAAUGCGCUAGGGAACGGAGGGAUGGAUGCAGCGGGCACAGCCCUUAAUAUGCCAUAAAUUCUUGGACAGUCAAAUGUUGAGAUUGUUUACAGCAGGGGCUUUUGAAUGCAAAGGGACGCAAAUAUUGCCCGUCAUGAAAUGAUGAGAUUUAUUAGGCUGUAAUGCAUUGUAAAUAAGCAUUUGAAGACAUUUAUUUUUCUAAGGCUCCUGAAGACAUUUUAAAAACAAUAUUAGGCUGCUGGAGAUGAAAGCCUUAAGAAAAAACAUUGCUUUUGCGCAUUCAACUCUUUACCUCUGUGGAAUUGUUUUGAUCAGUUCUUGCGACUGAUGGACAGAAAUUGUGAUGUCAUUAUUUUUCAUUCAUAUGUAAAACAAUAAAUCGUAUUUAUAUAUCA